GCAUUCUCGCAAAUGCGAAAACUCGCUCAAGACUGCCGAAAAUCACUUGCCUUUCACACAUGCACAGAGAGACACAAGACAAGCGAGGAUUAAUGUCCCUGUUAACUAUACAUGGCAUCAUUCAAAUGAUCUUUCAAAAUGGACCGGUUGACAGAGCUAUUUCCCACCCAAAAAAAAGAGAGAGAGGAUAUAAACAACUGCCACCAGGGAGAGAAAAGAAACCCGACUCUGCGAGCAACUGAGGGAGCAUAAGAGCAAAUAAAGAAAAGAAAAGAAAAUGGGCCCCAUCCAUUUGCAAUCAAUCCGCUGAAACAAUUUUGCAUUCAUGGGCUUGGCGAAGAAGCAUUUUGCCGAUGGAUGUGUCCAAAAGAAGAAUUGCUUACUGCAGGAGGAGAAGGGAGGGGGCGGAAUCAGAUUUCCUACGCAAGACGACAACCCGAAAGCCAAUGUAUUCUUCAUCAGCAAUAACAGAACGACUGCACCCAUUCCUUGCGAGCUGAAACUCCACUAUCCACCCACUUUUCGCAUUUUUCUGAACAUCGAGACACAAUUAUUACCUAUUCAGUUCUAUCCAAACAAUGAUACAAAUAAAGUGUUGGGUUGUCUGCCAUCCAGGACCCACAAAGGCCUGCCAGCCCUGUUUUCAGCUGUAGCCAAUAAAUAAGUUGUGACCCUUGUUA